rnacentral:rRNA from 1 species
AACGAACGCUGGCGGCAUGCCUAACACAUGCAAGUCGAACGAGAUCUUCGGGUCUAGUGGCGCACGGGUGCGUAACGCGUGGGAAUCUGCCCUUUGGUUCGGAAUAACAGUUGGAAACGACUGCUAAUACCGGAUGAUGACGAAAGUCCAAAGAUUUAUCGCCAGAGGAUGAGCCCGCGUAGGAUUAGCUAGUUGGUGUGGUAAAGGCGCACCAAGGCGACGAUCCUUAGCUGGUCUGAGGGGAUGAUCAGCCACACUGGGACUGAGACACGGCCCAGACUCCUACGGGAGGCAGCAGUGGGGAAUAUUGGACAAUGGGCGAAAGCCUGAUCCAGCAAUGCCGCGUGAGUGAUGCAGGCCUUAGGGUUGUAAAGCUCUUUUACCCGGGAUGAUAAUGACAGUACCGGGAGAAUAAGCGCCGGCUAACUCCGUGCCAGCCGCCGCGGUAA